rnacentral:rRNA from 1 species
AGAGUUUGAUCCUGGCUCAGAUUGAACGCUGGCGGCAUGCCUUACACAUGCAAGUCGAACGGUAACAGCACUUCGGUGGCUGACGAGUGGCGAACGGGUGAGUAAUACAUCGGAACGUGCCCGAGAGUGGGGGAUAACGCAGCGAAAGCUGUGCUAAUACCGCAUACGAUCUACGGAUGAAAGCAGGGGACCGCAAGGCCUUGCGCUCAUGGAGCGGCCGAUGGCAGAUUAGGUAGUUGGUGGGAUAAAAGCUUACCAAGCCGACGAUCUGUAGCUGGUCUGAGAGGACGACCAGCCACACUGGGACCGAGACACGGCCCAGACUCCUACGGGAGGCAGCAGUGGGGAAUUUUGGACAAUGGGCGAAAGCCUGAUCCAGCCAUGCCGCGUGCAGGAUGAAGGCCUUC